rnacentral:rRNA from 1 species
UACAGAGGGUGCGAGCGUUGUCCGGAAUCACUGGGCGUAAAGGGCGCGUAGGCGGCUUGAUAAGCGUGCGGUGAAAGCCCGGGGCUCAACCCCGGGUCGGCCGUGCGAACUGUCGAGCUGGAGCACUGUAGAGGCAGGUGGAAUUCCGGGUGUAGCGGUGGAAUGCGUAGAGAUCCGGAAGAACACCGGUGGCGAAGGCGGCCUGCUGGGCAGUUUCUGACACUGAGGCGCGACAGCGUGGGGAGCAAACAGG